AUGGAUUUAGCUCAAUGGUAGAAGCACCUGCCUGGCAAGCGGGAGGUUGUGAGUUUGAUCCCCAGUUCCAUA
rnacentral:tRNA from 1 species